rnacentral:rRNA from 1 species
UACGUAGGGUGCAAGCGUUGUCCGGAAUCAUUGGGCGUAAAGCGCGCGUAGGUGGCUUCGUAAGUCCGUUGUGAAAGUCAAAGGCUCAACAUUUGAAAGCCGAUGGAUACUGCGGAGCUAGAGUACGGAAGAGGCGAGUGGAAUUCCUGGUGUAGCGGUGGAAUGCGCAGAUAUCAGGAGGAACACCAAUAGCGAAGGCAGCUCGCUGGGACGUUACUGACACUAAGGCGCGAAAGCGUGGGGAGCGAACAGG